GGCGCCGUGCCCGCCCCGCCCCGCCGCGCCGCUUAUUUAGCGGGAUCCCGGGGGAAAGCGGCCUUUCCAUGGGGGACGGAACCGGAGCGGCCGCGCGUGCCCGUCUCCAGUCGGGGUGCGUGCCUCGGCAGAAAGUGAAGCUCAAGAUGAGUUUGUUGCUGGCUUUGGAAAUCCUCAGUCUGGGCUCUGCCAGGCCUUGCAAGCAGAAAGAUGUCACAUGAAUUCUGGAGCUACAAAAGUUCCAUGACAUCAGAUGAUUACUGUAUUCCUGCCUUGUAUGUGCACAAAGGGCCAACAGGAGAGUCCACCCACUUGUAGAAGUGUGGGUGUUUAAGGAGCUUGAAAACAGUAGCCUGGAAUGUGGAGUUCUAAUGCACUUGGAAAUGCUUCCAUUGUCCUUCCUGCUCAUCAGAAAUCCUGCUUGGUUCCAUAGUACGGAGCGGGAGAUUACCAGACUGAAGAAGUUCAAGUUUAUCCUUUUUAUAUGAACUUAAGUCUCCUAUGUAACAGAUGCCACCCUUGGCCAGUACAGCGCUGCAGGCUUGAAUACUGGCACUUCCAGUUCCGUGUUUAUCUUUGGACACACAAGGAAAAAUGUCACUGGACGGUGGGUGUCGUAUGCCACGGGGCAGAAGACAUAAGCUGUAAUUCAGAAGCCUGGAGGAUUAAAAAAUUCUGUCAGUCAUAAAUUGUUAAAUUAUUAACUUCUAAAAAAACUUGCUAAGUAUUAAGACUCACUUAGAAAGAACAACAACAAAUCCUUAACAUGAAACCAGCAUAAAAACUAACUGUUUAAAUACAAAAGGUUCAAGCCUGCUUUCUAACAGCUGUCCUCAAGAUAUUUCUUAUGGACUAAGCAUGAGGCAAAUCAUGGGUUGCAAAAGUAAAUCCUAGGAAAUCAAAGACAUCCCAUAAUUAAACCCCAUAUUGUUAACGUCUCUUUCUAUUCUACAGAAACUUUUGAAAAGAUGAGCCCUUUUUUUUUGUUACCAGCUUCUGGGACAGCCUUCAGUUUUGAUUUUAGAGGAAUGGGCUUUUAUCUGAACUCUGCAAAACAGUGCCUAGUGUUAAAUUUUUACCGUAAUCUUGCGAGAGUUUUCAAAAGUUUUAUAACUAAGGAAGCUCUGAUCUAGAGUUACCACGUGAAAGAAAAAUGUCCAAAGGAUAAAAAUUGAGUAUUUUACUAAGUUGGAGCCUUGUAUGUUCUUUUAAAAUAAAGUCUGUAGCUUUUCAUGUAAGACCAAUCCUAUUAUCUUUAAAAAGACUAGAUUUUAAAUUCUAAUUUCUGUGGGAAAAAAGGAAUCUCUUUACCUGUCAAUUACCAGUGGGUCACUUGUCAUAAUCAAGAGAUCCAGAUAAUCUGCAUUUUCUUUUUCACAUGUCUGUACUAGACUCAGCAAUAUUGCAAGUUUAAGAGUAUUGUAAGUGCCUGGUGGAACAACUUGAGAAGCAAAGAUGUUGGCCAGGACAGCACUAAACCUCCAGCAUGAACUUGAAGUCAGUGAGAGCAGAUACUUUAAAUUCUCACUAACAAAAGAAGGACCUAAUGGAAACAAAGUACAGGUGAACAAACACAUUAAAGAGACCUAUGCAGGUAAGUUGGAACAAAUCACCAUUGGAGUCUUGAUACAAAAACUUACUAAGAACAAAUAUAUCUUUAUAGUAAGGACAAAUUCAGAAUGUAAGCAUCUGACACUGUUAAUUUUACUUCUAAAAAGGUGGCAGACAUGAUCUGUUAGAAUUGAUGCAAUAAGAAAGGAAAAACAAACUGAAAUAUCAGGUUCAUUUUAUAUGAUUACAAAGUACUUUACAAUGGAUAGGAGAAGAUGGAAAGAGAUGUUGAAGAACUGCUACAUAAUUGGGGGGUUUCUCAAUGCAUGGAAAUCAGGCAAAAGCAGAUACUCUCAAAUAACAGCAAGUACACAUUUCAGGCUGUAAGAGGAAAGUCCCAGAGUGGUUUUGUACUCUGAACCUCUAGAUGAUAUAAAACCGAACGAAUGAUCAAGAUCUUUUUCUAUGAGGUUUUCCAGGGUUUAAGUAAAUUUUUAAUGGAACUUUCUUACCAUUUGGUUUAUAGAGCUGUACACUAUUGACUUCUAUACAUGCAGUCAUUUGUAGGCCAUUUUGUACACAAGCUGGAAUUCCUAUAAUCCUGUAGUGGUUUCCUAUUGUCAUUUUAUUGGCCAGUUCAUCUGCAAAUAAUAAAAAACUAAGUGUAGGGGGGCAAAGCUACAGAUAUGUUACAGCAUAGAAACACUUUUAAAGACAUGGUCAGAAAACUUUUACACAUUCUGAAUGUUUGAUUUUAUGAUUUAACAUUGGCACAAAACAACUGGAGGCCAGAUUGAUAAUGGAUUAGAAUAAAAUAAAACAUACAAUUUUAAUUAUUUAGUGCAAAAGAUAAGGAAGGCACACUAGGUUAGGGAAAAUAGAUUUCAUGAUAAAAAAAUGGACAAUGCAUUUAGUCCUGCAUUGAAAAGAAAAUUAAUAGUUUUUUACAAGUAUAUUUCCUACUCUUAAGUUUGUGCCAUUACCAUUAUCAAUCCUAUAAAAUGUCAGAGAAAAAACCAUAACACAAUAAAAUGGAGAUAUAAACUACACAGAUUUCAAAAAGACCCAUAAAUAGCUUUGUGAACCUUUAUAUUUUUGUGCACCUUAGGAAACCAAAUCCCAUUUACUUUUUGAAAAUAAGAAUCAGAUCCAACCAGAUCUCAGUCUCAGCCUGAGAAACACUGUAACAACACUGAUCACUAAAGCCAGCAGAAAUUUACGGCACACAACUCUCAGUAUCUUGACCAUAGACUGUUCUAUAAAUUUUUAUUUUAAUUUUUGUACUACUGGUUCUUUCUGUUUAGUUUUCAAUAAAUGAACCACAUAAUUCCCUAGACUUUUGGAAUGGAUGGGGAUUUUUUGUUACUUGUCUCUGUGUUUGUUAGGGGUAUUUUUAAGAAUUAAUGGAAGUAUGUUGCUGAGUUGUGAUUUUAGUUGGAUAUUAACAUUCGAAAUCAUUUAAUGUUUGUGGUGGAUGGUAGUGGUAGUAGAAGCCAAAAAUCCUGAUGGGAUGUGGAAAACAGCUAAAUUGAGUAAGGAUGUUAAAUAUACAUGAAGUUAGUACAGAACAGCAAGACCAAUGGGAGCAGAAAGGAGGAAAAAACAAGCAACAGUUAUCAUAAGACACUGCUGAGCUGGGCAGGGGAUUGUAAUUAAAUGGAGGUGUAAAAGUGACACAAGAAUGUUGCCAUGUGCACUCUGCAAUCACCUGUGCACACUGCUUUGUCACCUAGCUACUUUUUAUAAAAUUAAGGGGUGGGGGGGGAGUACAGAAAGAACUGCAAUAUAAAUAAUGCGUUUCACCAUUUUAGCAAAAAAAAAAAAAAUGCAGCUACAAUUGCAAGGGAUUCUUAUAGAUCAAUUCUAAAACAUUUUUGACAGAACUCCAAAGUUCAGCUUACCUCUCAAGAACAAUGUAAAUGCCUGAAUCCUAAAAUGUGAUUUAUCAAUGGAAUAUCCUUUCAAAGCAUUCAGAAUUUUAGCAUCAAUCAUUUCAACUAUUUGUUUAUCUUUCAAAACAAAGGCAAAGAAAAAGGUUAAUUCUCUUGAAAACAUCUCUUUUUAAAAGACUGGUGUAUUUUAAGUGGGCUUCUUCCACUUAAAUAUUUUGUUUACUUAUUAUAUAACAGAAGUAGAAAACUACCAAAUCCAAAAGUAAGAUUACAUAGAUCCUACCACCAAGUACUCUAAAUUUCAUGUCUUCCUGCAGUGGUGAAGAACACAAGCUACACACAAAAUCAGUCCUCACUGUAGCAGACUCUGUAGCUCCAGGACAAUGCACUCUGAUGCACCUAAACCCUAAAAAAAAAAAAGGUAAUAAUUUACCAACCAUGUAAAAGGAAGGCAUAGUUCUAGUUUUAAAUUUCCCAUGGAGAACAGAAGCAAUUAAAAUACUGGACAGUGAAAUUCUAAAUUUAUUAUGUGUUUCUUCAGAUGAGCCUCCCUUACAAAUGCCACUGAAAUAAUCCAUCUGAUUUCUUGUGUUUGGCCACGAGAUGGCAGUUUCCCACUGCACAUUCCCAAGAUGAACAGCCUUGCCGGGCUUUCUCGAGGAGUGAGCUACUGCGGCUUCUGCCUGGCGUGGGAAUGACAUGGGAUAUGGAUAGUCACUAUUAGAGGAUCCAUCUUCCAAGAUCUUUGCACACUUUAUCCAGCUGUGGGAAUAAACCGUGAAGAAAUGAUGGUAGCACUGGCCAUGCUAUAACAGUAAUAAUAAAGGUACAUACUAACAAAGCCACACAAAAUUA